rnacentral:lncRNA from 1 species
CACAGACCGUGAUAAAAAGUAGUCUGUGAACAAAAAAAUUAGAGUGAGCAAUAUUUUUAGUAAGAUAUGGUAGUCACUUUGACCAUGGUAUAAAAUUUCUUACUAGGUGUUUUAGUAAGGUGAGAUUUAAAAGAGGGCUAUUUUUUUGAGUGUGUGGUAGUCUUUUUGAGUAUUAUACUUUUGACUACGGUGUAAAGAUUCCUUACUAUAAUAAUAUUAGUUGCUCCUCUUGAUUCGUGUUUUUUUCCGUACACCGUAGAGUAUUUCUAUUGUGCGAAGAAAUAAAGACAAAGAAUCAUCAUUCCAAAUAGGAGUUUCUCCAAACAUUGAUUGUCCGUUGGACGUAAAAUAAUUUGGAUAUCAUCCAGAAAUAACCACAUCAUCUUCUGUAUUAGUAAUACCCAUUUUACUCCUAAACAACCUUUUCAAACGAUCAUAUUUGCGAGAUAAAGAAAAUGAUUGGACCACUAUAGGACGCCGACUAUAUCGCACCAAAUCUCCACCAUGCAAAACUUCAC